rnacentral:lncRNA from 1 species
UGGAUUUUUGGAAGGGCUCCCUCUAUAUAAGGGUAAAGUCUUAUAAAAUCAAAACUAUAACAUUUUCACACUUAAAUUUUUAUUCCUUUCCAAUAAUUCAAUAUCUGUUUGGGUGAGGACAAUUUACGAGGAUACUAGAAAAGAACUGUGCACCCCACAACAGCCAGCGGGAAAUAAUCCCCACUCAAUUAACAGAAUACAAAAUAGUGAAGCACAUUCCAG